CCUACGGGAGGCAGCAGUGAUGAAUAUUGGUCCAUGGACGCAAGUCUGAACCAGCCAUGCCGCGUGCAGGAAGACGGCUCUAUGAGUUGUCAACUGCUUUUGUACGAGGGUAAACGCAGAUACGCGUAUCUGUCUGAAAGUAUCGUACGAAUAAGGAUCGGCUAACUCCGUGCCCGCAGCCGCGGUAAUACGGAGGAUUCAAGCGUUCUCCGGAUUUAUUGGGUUCAAAGGGUGCGUAGGCGGUCGGAUAAGUUAGAGGUGAAAUCCCGAGGCUGAAAUUCGGAAUAGCCUCUGAUACUGUUCGGCUAGAGAGUGGUUGCGGUAGGCGGAAUGUAUGGUGUAGCGGUGAAAUGCUUAGAGAUCAUACAGAACACCGAUUGCGAAGGCAGCUUACCAAGCUACUUCUGACGUUGAGGUACGAAAGCGUGGGGAGCAAACAGGAUUAGAUACCCCUGUAGUC
rnacentral:rRNA from 1 species